rnacentral:rRNA from 1 species
UAGGGAAUCUUCCGCAAUGGGCGAAAGCUUGACGGAGCAACGCCGCGUGAGUGAUGAAGGUCUUCGGAUCGUAAAACUCUGUUAUUAGGGAAGAACAAAUGUGUAAGUAACUAUGCACGUCUUGACGGUACCUAAUCAGAAAGCCACGGCUAACUACGUGCCAGCAGCCGCGGUAAUACGUAGGUGGCAAGCGUUAUCCGGAAUUAUUGGGCGUAAAGCGCGCGUAGGCGGUUUUUUAAGUCUGAUGUGAAAGCCCACGGCUCAACCGUGGAGGAUCAUUGGAAACUGGUAAUCUUGAGUGCAGAAUACGAAAGUGGAGUUCCAUGUGUAGCGGUGAAAUGCGCAGAGAUAUGGAGAAACACCAGUGGCGAAGGAGACUUUCUGGUCUGUAACUGACGCUGAUGUGCGAAAGCGUGGGGAUCAAACAGG